GACGAACGCUGGCGGCGUGCUUAACACAUGCAAGUCGAACGAUGAAGCCGGAGCUUGCUCUGGUGAAUUAGUGGCGAACGGGUGAGUAACACGUGAGUAACCUGCCCUUGACUCUGGGAUAACUGCUAGAAAUGGUAGCUAAUACCGGAUACGACCCUCGGAGGCAUCUCCAGGGGGUGGAAAGAAUUUCGGUCAAGGAUGGACUCGCGGCCUAUCAGCUAGUUGGUGGGGUAAUGGCUCACCAAGGCGACGACGGGUAGCCGGCCUGAGAGGGUGACCGGCCACACUGGGACUGAGACACGGCCCAGACUCCUACGGGAGGCAGCAGUGGGGAAUAUUGCACAAUGGGCGCAAGCCUGAUGCAGCAACGCCGCGUGAGGGAUGACGGCCUUCGGGUUGUAAACCUCUUUUAGUAGGGAAGAAGCGAAAGUGACGGUACCUGCAGAAAAAGCACCGGCCAACUACGUGCCAGCAGCCGCCGUAA
rnacentral:rRNA from 1 species